UCCUUUAAUGUGUAAAUAGGCGUUGCCAUUUUAUCCUGUUUUUACUCUUUCAAGAUUCCGCACUGUUUCCUUCUGAUCCGAUCUUUGCAUAUUUUUAUUUUUACAGUUUAAUAAUGCUUUAUUAAUUUAUUUUUUUUCAAUUUUAUUAUUCACAAAUUAUAUGCAUGUAGUAUAUAUGCGUGUAUAAUGUAUGUAUAAGAGUUUCAGUCACCUGCAUGUACAGGUUAUUAAUGGAGAUCUGGGGUAUAAUUUUGAUAAUUUUAAUCUUUUUUGGGGUUUAUGCAGAAUUUCUUGGCGAAAAAGUUUUCUUACAAUUGGUUCACAAUUUUCCAGCUAUGUGAUAAAUGGGGUUUUCCCAGCUUCUAAAUUGUUGAACUUUAACCUAGGAGAGCAAUUGAGGAGUUGAUUUAGCAGCAUUGGGACGAAAUUUCGCAGAAGCAAGAAGACUGUCAAAGUGGAGUCCUGUUGCCAAUGACAAAAUCUUCUUCCCCUGAAUUGUGGUACAGCAAGGUUUCAUGCGCUUCUCAGAAGAACAGUGAGGCCAAUGGAGCUGCUGAAAUGGAUGAUCAGGAAAAGACAAUGUCAACUGUUGCUCAACUUGUUGAGCAGCUGCAUGCAAAUAAAUCUUCCCCACAUGAAAAAGAACUUACUACAGCACGCUUGCUCGGCAUAGCCAAAGCAAGAAAGGAAGCACGAGGUCUAAUUUGUUCACAUGGCCUGGCAAUGCCACUAUUCAUAUUCAUUCUCAGAAAUGGCACUCCUUUGGCAAAAGUAAAUGUUGCUGCAACCUUAUCUAUAUUAUGUAAAGAUGAAGACUUAAGGUUGAAGGUUCUUCUAGGUGGAUGUAUUCCACCUCUACUGUCAGUUUUGAAGUCGGACUCCGCUGAAGCAAGGAAAGCAGCUGCAGAAGCAAUUUUUCAGGUGUCAUCUAGUGAAUUUUCGGAUGAUCCUAUCGGCACUAAAAUAUUUGUUACAGAAGGUGUAGUACCAACUUUGUGGGAGCAGCUUAACCCAAAGCAGAAGCAGGAUAAAACAGUAGAAGGAUUUGUGACUGGGGCUUUGAGAAAUCUUUGUGGUGAUAAAGAUGGAUAUUGGAGGGCAACACUUGAGGGUGGUGGAGUUGACAUUAUUGUAGGACUUCUUUCUUCUGAUAAUGUUGUAGCUCAAGCAAAUGCAGCUUCUCUAUUGGCCCGGGUAAUGUUGGCAUUCAGUGAUAGCAUUCCAAAAAUAAUUGAUUCUGGAGCAAUCAAAGUUCUUCUGAGCCUCCUACAUCAGAAAAAUGAUGUAUGCGUUCGUGCCAGUGCAGCUGAGGCUUUAGAGGUUCUUUCUCUCAAAUCAACCAAAGCGAAGAAAGCUGUUGUUAAUUCACAGGGUGUGCCAAUUCUCAUAGGUGCUGUCGUAGCUCCAUCCAAAGAAUGUAUGCAAGGCGAAGGAGGAGAGCUUCUGCAGUGGCAUGCAAUACAAGCUUUAUCCAAUAUAUGCGGUGGAAUGUGUGCCCUCGUGCUGUAUCUUGGUGAACUUUCUCAGUCUCCAAGAUUAGCUGCUCCUGUUGCUGAUAUAAUUGGAGCACUUGCUUAUGCUCUUAUGGUCUUUGAGUUCAAUGCAGAAGAACGUUUUGAUGCAAGAAAGGUUGAGAAUAUUCUUAUAAUGCUUCUAAAGCCGAGGGAUAAUAAGUUGGUCCAGGAACGUCUCCUUGAGGCAAUGGCAAGUCUUUAUGGCAAUGCUUAUCUUUCAAAUCUGGUCCACCAAUCAGAAUCUAAGAAGGUUCUUGCAGGCCUCAUAACAAUGGCCAGUGGUGAUGCACAGGAGUAUCUGAUACUCUCCCUAAUACAGUUAUGUUGUGAUGGAGUGAGUGUCUGGGAUGCAAUUGGAAAGAGGGAAGGAAUUCAGUUACUGAUAUCACUCCUGGGGUUAUCCAGUGAACAAAAUCAAGAGUAUGCUGUAGAGAUGCUUGCAAUCCUAACUGAGCAAGUUGAUGACAGCAAGUGGGCAAUCACUGCUGCUGGAGGGAUUCCGCCACUUGUUCAGUUACUAGAAAUGGGGUCUCAGAAGGCUAAGGAAGACGCAGCACAUGUUAUGCAUAACCUGUGCUGCCAUAGUGAAGACAUUCGUGCCUGUGUUGAAAGUGCUGGAGCUAUACACUCGUUCUUGUGGCUUCUAAAAAAUGGAGGACCAAAGGGACAAGAAGCAUCAGCUAGAUCCCUUACAAAACUAAUCACUACUGCUGACUCGGCUACCAUAAAUACAUUGCUAUUGUUGCUGAGGGGAGAUUCACCAAGCUCAAAGGCCCAUGUAAUUAAGGUGUUAGGUCAUGUGCUUACCAUGGCAUCUCAGAGUGACCUUGUACAUAAAGGGGCUGCUGCUAAUGACGGGCUAAGAUCACUAGUCCAAGUUCUAAAUUCCUCAAAUGAAAAGACUCAAGAAUAUGCUGCCUCUGUCCUGGCAGACCUAUUCAGCACUCGACAUGAUAUUUGUGAUAGCCUUGCCACGGAUGAAGUGGUUAAUCCUUGCAUGAAGCUUUUGACUAGCAAUGCUCCAGUUGUUGCAACACAGUCAGCUCGAGCCUUGGGUGCUUUGUCCCGUCCAACAAAAGCAAAAUCUACAAGCAAGAUGCUUUAUAUUGCUGAAGGAGAUGUAAGACCACUAAUUAAGUUGGCUAAAACUGCAUCUAUUGAUUCUGCGGAGACUGCAAUGGCUGCUUUAGCCAAUCUGUUAUCUGAUCCAGAGAUAGCUGCAGAAGCACUGGCUGAAGAUGUUGUUUCAGCUUUGACCCGAGUUUUAGGAGAAGGGUCAUUAGAAGGUAAGAAAAAUGCAUCACGUGGCCUUCAUCAACUAUUGAGUCAUUUUCCAGUGGGAGAUGUACUGACAGGAACUGCUCAGUGUCGAUUUGCUGUUCUUGCUAUUACGGAAUCCUUAAAAGAAAUGAGUGCAGACGGAACUGGUGCUGCGGACGCUUUAGAUGUUAUUGCACUUCUUUCUAGGGAAAAGCAAGGCAUACAUUCGACAUACAAUCCCUGGACUGCCCUUGCUGAAGUUCCAUCUAGUUUAGAGCCUCUUAUACAUUGCCUCUGUGAGGGAUCUUCCGUGGUCCAAGAUAAAGCAAUAGAAAUUCUAUCCAGGCUUUGUGGAGAUCAACCAGUUUUGCUAGGUGACCUAUUAGUGUCAAGAUCCAGGUCAAUAGGUGCAUUGGCUGAUAGAAUAAUUAACUCUAGCAGUCUAGAAGUAAGAGUUGGUGCGACAGCAUUGGUUAUUUGUGCUGCCAAGGAACACAAAGUUCAGUCAAUGGAUGCUCUUUAUGCAUCUGGAUACUUGAAACCUCUUAUAUAUGCAUUAGUUGAUAUGAUGAAGAAAAAUUCCAACUGUUCUUCCCUAGAAAUUGAAGUCAGAACCCCUAGGGGUUUCACAGAAAGAACUCUAUUUGGGGAAGGAAAUGAGUUUGAGGUUCCAGAUCCAGCAGUGGUCUUAGGUGGUACUGUUUCCCUUUGGCUGCUAUCAAUAGUUUCAUCAUUUCAUAUAAAUAGCAAGUCCACUGUUCAGGAAGCGGGGGGGCUUGAGGCUCUUGCUGGCAAGCUUGCAAGACACACUUCCAAUCUACAGGCCGAGUUUGAAGAUGCCGAGGGCAUGUGGAUCAGUGCGUUGCUUUUGUCUAUAUUAUUCCAAGAUGCCAAUAUAGUAUCCUCUCCAACAUCCAUGCGUUUUAUACCUUUGCUUUCACAUCUUCUGAAAUCUGAUGAAAUGAUAGAUCGAUUUUUUGCUGCUCAGGCAAUAGCUAGUCUUGUUCGUCAGAGGGACAAAGGAAUGAAUCUCAGUAUUGCGAAUUCAGGUGCAAUUGCUGGUUUAGUGAGCUUGAUUGGUCACAUUGAAAUAGAUAUGCCGAAUCUUGUUUCUCUCUCUGAAGAAUUUUUAUUGGUAAGAAACCCUGAUCAGGUUGCCCUGGAAUCCCUUUUUGACAUUGAAGAUGUGAAAACUGGUUCAACCGCACGUAAGACUAUCCCUCUACUUGUAGAUCUAUUAAAACCCCUUCCCGAUAGGCCUGGUGCACCUCCAUUGGCUGUGCGUCUCUUGAUACAAAUUGCAGAUGGUACUGAUGCAAACAAAUUAAUCAUGGCUGAAGCUGGGGUGCUGGAGGCUCUAACAAAGUACCUAUCUUUGAGCCCUCAAGACUUGACUGAGGCAACUAUUUCUGAGCUAUUGAGAAUAUUAUUCAGCAAUUCCGAUCUUCUCCAGUAUGAAGCAACGGUUAGUUGCACGAUACAACUGAUUGCUGUUCUUCAUUUGGGGUCAAGAAAUGCAAGGUUGAGUGCUGCAAGGGCUUUAAAUGAACUUUUUGAUGCUGAGAACAUCCGAGAUUCUGAAGCAUCAAUUCAAGCCAUUCAGCCAUUAGUUGACAUGCUUGAUGCUGCAUUAGAAAGCGAACAGCAAGUUGCUCUUAGCGCCUUGAUUAAGUUGACCUCAGAAAGUGAUUCAAAAGCAUCACUGAUGGCUGAUUUAGAAAGGAAUCCCCUUGGGAGUCUACAUAAAAUUCUUGCUUCAACUUCUCCAUUGGAACUAAAAAGUGAUGCUGCCGAGUUAUGCUUUGUACUUUUUGGUGAUCCAAAAAUCAGAGCAUUGCCGGUUGCUUCUGAAUGUGUAGAGCCCCUAGUAAUGCUAAUGCAAUCUGAUGCAGAACGAGCUGUGGAAUCAGCAGUUUGUGCUUUUGAGAGGUUGUUGGAUGAUGAGCAGCUGGUGGAGCUUGCAUCAGCUUAUGAUCUUGUUGAUCUUCUGGUUCAUCUGAUUUGUGGCUCGAAUCACCGGCGCAGCGAUGCGAGUAUUUGUGCACUUAUUAAGUUGGGUAAAGACCGGACUCCCUGCAAGAUGGAUAUGGUCAAAGCAGGCAUAAUAGAAAAUUGCCUUGAGCUGCUCCCAACUGCAUCCAGUUCUUUAUGCUCCACUACUGCAGAACUCUUCCGCAUAUUGACAAAUAGUAGUGCUAUUUCGAGAAGCCCAGCUGCUGCAAAAAUUGUUGAACCUCUCUUUAUGGUUUUACUACGGUCAGAUUUUGGACUGUGGGGACAGCACAGUGCUUUGCAAACUCUUGUGAAUAUUCUAGAGAAGCCACAAAGUCUUGCAACUCUGAAUCUUUCUCCUAGCCAGGUAAUUGAGCCUCUGAUUUCCUUUCUUGAAUCCCCAGCUCAAGCUAUCCAGCAACUUGGAACCGAAUUAUUAUCUCAUCUCCUUGCUCAAGAGCAUUUUAAGCAGGAUAUAACUACAAAAAACGCAGUAGUGCCUCUUGUGCAACUAGCUGGCAUUGGUAUUUUGAACUUGCAACAGACGGCAAUUAGAGCUUUGGAAAAUAUCUCAUUAAGCUGGCCAAAAGCAGUUGCUGAUGCUGGUGGUAUUUUUGAGCUUGCAAAGGUUAUUGUUCAAGAUGACCCUGUACCGCCUGUUGCAUUGUGGGAGUCAGCGGCUAUGGUUCUCUGCAAUGUCCUAUGCUCUAACUCUGAUUACUACUUCAAAGUUCCCUUGGUCGUUCUUGUAAAGAUGCUGUGUUCAACGCUUGAGAGCACCAUUAUUCUUGCACUAGAUGCACUUAUAGUUCAUGAGAAGGCUGAUAUUUCAAGUGCAGAACUGAUAGUUGAAGCAGGUGCAGUAGAUGCCCUUCUGGAUCUGCUAAGAUCUCACCGGUGUGAAGAGGCAUCGGGAAGAUUACUUGAAGCCCUUUUCAACAAUGUCCGGAUACGAGAGCUGAAGGUAUCUAAGUAUGCAAUUGCUCCUCUGGCACAAUAUUUGUUGGAUCCACAGUCUAGAUCGCAAUCUGGUAGGCUUCUUGCAGCUCUUGCUCUUGGUGAUCUCUCCCAGCAUGAAGGACUAGCUAGAGCGAGUGCUUCUGCCUCGGCCUGUCGAGCUCUGAUAAGUUUACUUGAAGAUCAACCAACAGAAGAAAUGCAAAUGGUGGCAAUUUGUGCAUUGCAAAAUUUUGUAAUGAGCAGUAGAACCAACAGGAGAGCUAUUGCAGAAGCAGGUGGAAUUUUAAUGAUUCAAGAACUGCUUUUAGCCCCUAAUUCAGAAAUUGCAGCACAGGCAUCUUUGCUCAUAAGGUUUUUAUUCUCAAAUCACACACUACAAGAAUAUGUAUCAAACGAGCUUAUCAGAUCUUUGACAGCUGCACUUGAGAAGGAAUUGUGGGCCACAGCAACUGCUAAUGAGGAGAUUCUGCGGACCAUUCAUGUUAUAUUUUCCAACUUUCCCAAGCUCCAUGUUUCUGAUGCUGCUACGCUUUGCAUCCCUCAUCUGGUGGCAGCAUUGAAGUCUGGUAAUGAGGCUGCACAGGAUUCAGUAUUGACCACACUAUGCUUACUCAAGCAAUCAUGGUCAACCAUGCCGAUGGAUGUGUCCAAGUCACAAGCAAUAGUCGCAGCUGAAGCCAUUCCAAUAUUGCAGAUGCUAAUGAAGACUUGCCCGCCAAGUUUCCAUGAUAGAGCAGACAGCCUGUUGCAUUGCUUACCAGGUUGUUUGACAGUCACAAUCCAGCGUGCAAACAAUUUAAAGCAGGUGAUGGGAGGAACUAAUGCUUUUUGUCAAUUGACGAUUGGCAAUGGUCCAUCACGGCAAACAAAGGUUGUGAGUCACAGUACAUCGCCAGAAUGGAAAGAAGGCUUCACAUGGGCUUUUGAUGUACCACCCAAGGGACAAAAGCUACAUAUCUUGUGCAAAAGCAAAAACACAUUUGGGAAGACUACUAUCGGGAGGGUAACAAUCCAAAUUGAUAAAGUUGUUAGUGAAGGCAUGUACAGUGGUCUUUUCAGCCUCAGCCAGGACAGCAAUAAGGAUGGCUCAUCCCGGACUUUAGAGAUUGAGAUUACCUGGUCCAGUAGGACGCCUGGCGAUAGUGAGUGAAGGGAAGCAAGACUGAAAUAAUGCAAUCUUGAGGACCCAAAGUCGGAGCUGGACCUGGUAAAGAACAAUUUCAUAUUCCAGCCUAAUGCAAGAGCUGUUGGGGGAAGUCCAAAUUUUGUUUGUAUCUAAAGUGUUGCUACCUGUGGUGUAACUGUAAAAUAGUAAGAUAUUUGCAAGGACAGAGAAGUUGAGAGAGGUUCCCACGGUACAAGCCCAACAAGUGAAGUGGAAUUAGUUUAAUCUGCCUGACAAGACGACAAAUGUGCAGCAACAGCUAGUGCAAAAGCAGCAGCCAGGGAUCCAAACUGCAACUUAUGAGUUGUUACAACCAACGCAACUGAUAACUGGAAAGGGAAGCCUUGUGUUAAUUAAAUUAUCAACCCAGACUACCAAAAUGGUAAAGAGGUUAAACCAAAUUACUGACAGUUGAACACAAAAAUAUGUGGGCUUGAAUCUUGAUGGAUCAUAUCCCUCAGCAGCGUAGGGGGUCUAUCUUGUCAGUACACCAUCUAGCAUAAUAGGUUUUGGGAGAAGUUGCAACAAAUUAAACCACUUGUCAAUUAAUCUCAGAUGACAAUGGUUGAGUGAAGUGAUAUACCCCCUUCUUUUUCAAUUUGUCUUUGUUUGACUGCAUGAGAUUUAAAAAAGUAAGAUCUUCAAAUUUUCUGGUCUUAAACUAAAGAUAUAUAUUAACCUUAUAAUCCUAAACA